UGACUUCGUAUCAGCAGGGGCGGCU
rnacentral:piRNA from 1 species